rnacentral:rRNA from 1 species
UGGGGAAUAUUGCACAAUGGGGGAAACCCUGAUGCAGCGACGCCGCGUGAGUGAAGAAGGUCUUCGGAUCGUAAAACUCUGUCCUUGGUGAAGAAAAAAAUGACGGUAGCCA